UGGGGAAUAUUGGACAAUGGGCGCAAGCCUGAUCCAGCAAUGCCGCGUGUGUGAAGAAGGCCUGCGGGUUGUAAAGCACUUUCAGUGGGGAGGAAGGCCUCGGCGUUAAUAUCGUCGAGGAUUGACGUUACCUACAGAAGAAGCACCGGCUAACUCUGUGCCAGCAGCCGCGGUAAUACAGAGGGUGCAAGCGUUAAUCGGAAUUACCGGGCGUAAAGGGCGCGUAGGUGGUUAAUUAAGUCAGAUGUGAAAUCCCCGGGCUUAACCUGGGAAUUGCAUUUGAAACUGAUUGGCUAGAGUACGGGAGAGGGAAGUGGAAUUUCCGGUGUAGCGGUGAAAUGCGUAGAUAUCGGAAGGAACACCAGUGGCGAAGGCGACUUCCUGGCCCGUUACUGACACUGAGGCGCGAAAGCGUGGGGAGCGAACA
rnacentral:rRNA from 1 species